AUGUUGUGGUUUGUUGUCCUCUCAGUCUACCAGGUGGAGGUGGAUUCAGGGGAGGAGUCUGUCCUGCUGCCCUGCAAAACCACAGUUCACCUGCUAAGGCACGUCACAGUGGAGUGGAGGGACAGUGACAACAGGAAGGUCCAUGUGUAUCAGAACGGCUCUGAUCAGCCUGAAGAACAGAACCAGUAUUACAGAGACCGAACAGAGAUGAAGAGAAACCUGCUGGAACCUGGAGACCUCAGUCUGACCCUGAAAUACCCCACAGACAGAGACAGUAGCACCUUCACCUGCACCGUCUACAGCAGGGAGAGAAAGAUCCUGAAAAAGAAACAAGUGCUGCUCAAAGUCAAAGUCUACCAGGUGAAGGUGGAUUCAGGGGUGGAGUCUGUCCUGCUGCCCUGCAAAACCACAGUUCACCUGCCUGAGGACGUCAGAGUGGAGUGGACAGACAGUUACAACUGGAAGGUCCAUGUGUGUCAGAACGGUUCUGAUCAGCCUGAAGAACAGGACCAGUAUUACAGAGACCGAACAGAGAUGAAGAGAAACCUGCUGGAACCUGGAGACCUCAGUCUGACCCUGAAAUACCCCACAGACAGAGACAGAGGACACCUUCACCUGCACCGUCUACAACAGGGAGAGAAAGAUCCUGAUGGAGAAACAAGUGAAGCUCGAGGUCAAAGGUCAGUGCUGUAGAUACAGGUCAAAGGUCGGUACUGUAGCUAUAUUGUUAUUAAGCUAAGCUAAUAGCUAUAUUGUUAUUAAGCUAAGCUAAUAGCUAUAUUGUAAUUAAGCUAGUAGCUAUAUGUAAUUAAGCUAAGCUAAUAGCUAUAUUGUAAUUAAGCUAAGCUAAUAGCUAUAUUGUAAUUAAGCUAGUAGCUAUAUUGUUAUUAAGCUAAGCUAGUUGCUAUAUUGUAAUUAAGCUAGUUGCUAUAUUGUAAUUAAGCUAGUUGCUAUAUUGUAAUUAAGCUAGUUGCUAUAUUGUAAUUAAGCUAGUAGCUAUAUUGUUAUUAAGCUAAGCUAGUAGCUAUAUUGUUUAAUUAAGCUAGUAGCUAUAUUGUAAUUAAGCUAAGCUAAUAGCUAUAUUGUUAUUAAGCUAAGCUAAUAGCUAUAUUGUAAUUAAGCUAGUAGCUAUAUUGUUAAGCUAAGCUAGUAGCUAUAUUGUUAUUAAGCUAAGCUAAUAGCUAUAUUGUAAUUAAGCUAAUAGCUAUAUUGUAUUAAGCUAAGCUAAUAGCUAUAUUGUAAUUAAGCUAGUAGCUAUAUUGUUAUUAAGCUAAGCUAGUAGCUAUAUUGUUAUUAAGCUAAGCUAAUAGCUAUAUUGUAAUUAAGCUAGUAGCUAUAUUGUAAUUAAGCUAAGCUAAUAGCUAUAUUGUUAUUAAGCUAAGCUAAUAGCUAUAUUGUAAUUAAGCUAGUAGCUAUAUUGUUAUUAAGCUAAGCUAGUAGCUAUAUUGUAAUUAAGCUAGUAGCUAUAUUGUUAUUAAGCUAAGCUAGUAGCUAUAUUGUUAUUAAGCUAAGCUAAUAGCUAUAUUGUAAUUAAGCUAAGCUAAUAGCUAUAUUGUUAUUAAGCUAAGCUAAUAGCUGUAUUGUUAUAAGCUAGUAGCUAUAUUGUAAUUAAGCUAAGCUAGUAGCUAUAUUGUUAUUAAGCUAAGCUAGUAGCUAUAUUGUUAUUAAGCUAGUAGCUAUAUUGUAAUUAAGCUAGUAGCUAUAUUGUUUUUAAGCUAAGCUAGUAGCUAUAUUGUUUUAAGCUAGUAGCUAUAUUGUACUUAAGCUAAUAGCUAUAUUGUAAUUAAGCUAAGCUAAUAGCUAUAUUGUAAUUAAGCUAAUAGCUAUAUUGUAAUUAAGCUAGUAGCUAUAUUGUAAUUAAGCUAUUAGCUAUAUUGUAAUUAAGCUAGUUGCUAUAUUGUACUUAAGCUAAGCUAGUAGCUAUAUUGUUAUUAAGCUAGUAGCUAUAUUGUAAUUAAGCUAAU
rnacentral:lncRNA from 15 species